rnacentral:lncRNA from 1 species
GGUUAGGUUAGAUUUAGGUCUAGUGUUAGGGUUAGAGUUUGUCUUGUUCAUAUUUCUUUGAUACUGGGCAGGAUACAUUUUUACCCAGCCUUACUAUGUUCCCCAGGUUUCGGCCUUCUCGGUUCAAUUCUUUGCUGACAGGAACAAUUUGUAUUUUAUGGAUUCACUUCAUUUUGACCUACAUGGGUAAAUGGACAUGGAGCUGGAAAUCAAACAAGGUUGGUGCUAAGUGCUUGAAACUUCACACACUCAAUCAGUUCUCUAUGGGCACUCUCUGGUUUGUUCCUUGUGAAAUUAGUAAUAAGCUGAAGCAUGCAAUACAAAUUUAUCUGAGAACACUUUAGGAGAAAACAGGGAAAUAUGCAUGUACUGAAAUAGCUUCCCCAAUUAUUUUGUCAGAUUUCUUUGAAACUGCCCAUGAUUCAUCUGUAAGCUUACCCCACUGGACUCCCCAAUUUCAAAACUUCUAUGAUCAAAGGUUCUCUAAACAGAUUAGGUUUAGGGUUAGACUUAGUGUUAGGACUAGGUUUAGACCUGGUGUUAGGGUUAGAGUUAUUUUACAAAAAAUUUCUAUGAUACUGGGCAGGAUUCAACUUUUUCCUAUUUUUCCUAUACCCCAAAUGU